CCGCUUUUAUGAUACAGCAGCUGCUGCGAAACUUCCCCGCAUUGGAUAGAGUUAGGCACAACGGGCAUAACACAAUACGGUGGCGCUUCGCUCGCUGGCACUCGUGAUAUCAUAACCUGCAGUGUUGUACAUGUCUCUUUUGUUAGCCAAGACCAUGGCGAUGAUAGCGUCACAUGUACGAAGCUUUGUGUGAGCUUCGUUUAGUGGAACCUAGUUUUCAGUGAACCUUUUCUGUGAAGGAGAACGACAAGUUCAUGUCCCACGAGUAGAAUUCGCUGUUGUCGCGUGCUAGGAUAUUAUCAACAGCUAUAAUGGACCAUGCAGACGUAUUGUAUCUUCUUUUGAGCAUAUGCGUGAUUCCGUCACAUCUUGCAAGCGCUGUUAAAGAAGGCACCCCAAAAUUGAAUGACAGAUGCUUAAAGGAAACAACAGUGGAAGGCUGCGAAACCAUCCUCCUAAGUUGGAGCUAUAGCAAUGAAAGCAAUACAUGCGAAAAAGGCUUCGUGUGUUAUGGAUGCGAUAACCGAUUUGACAGUCACGACGAAUGCACUACUACCUGCCCAAUGUUACCAAUACCUGCUGCAAAACCAAAACCGAAACCAAUGCUAAAACGAAGGAACUGCAGGUUUUGGCUUAUGCGUGGUGGAUCCUGCCAAAAGAUUUGGUUCGAAUUCAAGAAAACCAAGUCGGGGAUAAUGCGCCGACUACUAUAUUACACUGGCUGCCGGCAAGAAAAGAACAGAUUAUUUGAAUAUGACUUCUAUAGGAAGAAAUGUCACGAGAUCAAGAAUCGUGCGUCU
rnacentral:lncRNA from 1 species